rnacentral:rRNA from 1 species
GAUCAUGGCUCAGGAUGAACGCUGGCGGCGUGCCUAACACAUGCAAGUCGAACGAGAUGCUUAUCGGAAAGCUUCGGCCGGAAGAUAAGUUAUCUAGUGGCGGACGGGUGAGUAACACGUGGGUAACCUGCCUUAUGGAGGGGGAUAACAGAGAGAAAUCACUGCUAAUACCGCAUAAGCACACAGUACCGCAUGGUACAGGGUGAAAAGAUUUAUCGCCAUAAGAUGGACCCGCGU